rnacentral:rRNA from 1 species
UCAUUGGAGGGGCAAGUCUGGUGCCAGCAGCCGCGGUAAUUCCAGCUCCAAAAGCGUAUAUUAAAGUUGUUGCAGUUAAAAAGCUCGUAGUUGAACCUUGGGCUUGGCUGGCCGGUCCAUCUUUUUGAUGCGUACUGGACCCAGCCGAGCCUUUCCUUCUGGGUAGCCAUUUAUGGCGAACCAGGACUUUUACUUUGAAAAAAUUAGAGUGUUCAAAGCAGGCCUUUGCUCGAAUAUAUUAGCAUGGAAUAAUAGAAUAGGACGUUAUGGUUCUAUUUUGUUGGUUUCUAGGACCAUCGUAAUGAUUAAUAGGGACGGUCGGGGGUAUCAGUAUUCAGUUGUCAGAGGUGAAAUUCUUGGAUUUACUGAAGACUAACUACUGCGAAAGCAUUUACCAAGGACGUUUUCAUUAAUCAAGAACGAAAGUUAGGGGAUCGAAGAUGAUCAGAUACCGUCGAGUAUUUU